GUCAUUUUUUUAUGAAUUGAAAGUACUUAUACGUCGAAAAUUUAAAAUUUAAAUUUCGUCCCGGCAGCAAGUGUGCACGGCCUUCCUCCUAACUUAUCUUUUCUCCAUAGAUUUUCAUUAAAAUCACCGUCCAUCAGCCAUGGAAGUGUAGUAAGUUGCAGUAUUAGUGAUUGAAUGAGUUGCCAACUAUGAUCUCGUCCCCCUCUUGCAGCCACACCGUAAAUUCCAGUAAAGCGCCAUAGAUCGGUUCCUGGUUUGCCAAUAAUAUAAUCAAUGUGGUUUGGAGAGGCAUUUUGUAUCGAUACAUGAACUUCAUCAUUCCAUAUUGUUCAUGAGGGUACUAUAACACUGCAAAUCUAUAAACACUGAAAUGGAUUGUAGAGACAAGUUAAUCAACACAGUGAGAUUCAAAAGACCUGGUGCAAAACCUCAAUGAGGGAAAAAACACUAAGCAAGAUUAUCUCAUUAUCACUAUAAUCUUUGAUAUGAAUUUACAAGGAUUGUAGUUCUUACCACAACUACAACUUUCUCAAUCUCUCAUUUAUUUACACGUUACACUCUCUACACAAGAGAAUCGAUUCAUGCAACUCUACACAAGAGAAACUAAAUUCUAAUCGCCGAUACUUUAUCACUAUCAGCUUCUCCUUGGUUCUUCAGCGCAACCAGCAGUCUUUAUCUUUCUCAGAACUUCACAAAUCAAACCAGCAUCAACAAUCUCAAGUGCAACCUGAACAGGCAAAUAAGAGAGAGAGAGAGAGAGAGAGAGAGAGAGAGAGAGAGAGAGAGAGAGAGAGAGAGAGAGAGAGAGAGAG
rnacentral:lncRNA from 1 species